UAUGUGAUCGUCUCUCGCAUAUCAAUAAGCGGAGGAAAAGAAACUAACAAGGAUUCCCCUAGUAACGGCGAGUGAAGCGGGAAGAGCUCAAAUUUGAAAUCUUAAAGGGUUUCCCUUUACGAAUUGUAGUUUAAAGAAGUGUUUUCUGUUGAGGUUUUGGUAAAAGUUCUUUGGAGUAGGACAUCAUAGAGGGUGAGAAUCCCGUAUUUGACCUUUACUUUCAACUUUGUGAUACACUUUCAAAGAGUCGGAUUGUUUGGGAAUGCAGUCCAAAAUGGGUGGUAAAUUUCAUCUAAAGCUAAAUAUUGGCGAGAGACCGAUAGCGAACAAGUACCGUGAGGGAAAGAUGAAAAGAACUUUGAAAAGAGAGUUAAACAGUACGUGAAAUUGUCAAAAGGGAAGCGUUUGACACCAGUGUUGUUUUUCUGAAAAUCAAUUAAAGAACUGUUUAUGCUAAGCUGUUUAGACUUUAUCAGCUAUCUGUUUAGUUUUGAGCUUUUCUUUAAUGCACUUUUCCAGUUAACAAGUCAACAUCAAUUUCUUUUGCUGUAAAAAGCUUGAGGAAGGUGGCUUGAGAUUCGUCUUAAGUGUUUAUAGCCUCUUGCCUAUGCAGUCGGAGAGAUUGAGGUCUGCAGCGUAGAUCCUUCGGGGCUAAAUGCAUUUGUGCUAAGUUAUAACAUUUUAUAGACAACUUGUUGACUAUGAUUUGUCUUGUAGCUUACUCGCUUAUGUUAUUUUACCUACGCUUAGGAUGUUGAGUAGCGACAUACGCAC
rnacentral:rRNA from 1 species